CCUACGGGUGGCAGCAGUGGGGAAUAUUGGACAAUGGGCGAAAGCCUGAUCCAGCCAUGCCGCGUGUGUGAAGAAGGCCUUCGGGUUGUAAAGCACUUUCAGUGGGGAAGAAAGCCUUGGGGCUAAUACCCUCGAGGAAGGACAUCACCCACAGAAGAAGCACCGGCUAACUCCGUGCCAGCAGCCGCGGUAAUACGGAGGGUGCGAGCGUUAAUCGGAAUUACUGGGCGUAAAGCGCGCGUAGGCGGUCUGAUAAGCCGGUUGUGAAAGCCCCGGGCUCAACCUGGGAACGGCAUCCGGAACUGUCAGGCUAGAGUGCAGGAGAGGAAGGUAGAAUUCCCGGUGUAGCGGUGAAAUGCGUAGAGAUCGGGAGGAAUACCAGUGGCGAAGGCGGCCUUCUGGACUGACACUGACGCUGAGGUGCGAAAGCGUGGGUAGCAAACAGGAUUAGAUACCCAUAGUC
rnacentral:rRNA from 1 species